AAGACAGGUGUGCUCUGGGUACAGGUGUCAUAUGAAGACAGGUGUGCUCUGGGUACAGGUGUCAUAUGAAGACAGGUGUCAUAUGAAGACAGGUGUCAUAUGAAGACAGGUGUCAUAUGAAGACAGGUGUCAUAUGAAGACAGGUGUCAUAUGAAGACAGGUGUCAUAUGAAGACAGGUGUGCUCUGGGUACAGGUGUCAUAUGAAGACAGGUGUCAUAUGAAGACAGGUGUCAUAUGAAGACAGGUGUCAUAUGAAGACAGGUGUCAUAUGAAGACAGGUGUCAUAUGAAGACAGGUGUCAUAGGAAGACAGGUGUCAUAUGAAGACAGGUGUCAUAGGAAGACAGGUGUCAUAUGAAGACAGGUGUCAUAUGAAGACAGGUGUCAUAUGAAGACAGGUGUCAUAUGAAGACAGGUGUCAUAUGAAGACAGGUGUCAUAUGAAGACAGGUGUCAUAUGAAGACAGGUGUGCUCUGGGUACAGGUGUCAUAUGAAGACAGGUGUCAUAUGAAGACAGGUGUCAUAUGAAGACAGGUGUCAUAUGAAGACAGGUGUCAUAUGAAGACAGGUGUCAU